rnacentral:rRNA from 1 species
UACGGAAGGCAGCAGUGGGGAAUAUUGCACAAUGGGCGCAAGCCUGAUGCAGCCAUGCCGCGUGUAUGAAGAAGGCCUUCGGGUUGUAAAGUACUUUCAGUCGUGAGGAAGGUGUUAAGGUUAAUAACCUUAGCAAUUGACGUUAGCGACAGAAGAAGCACCGGCUAACUCCGUGCCAGCAGCCGCGGUAAUACGGAGGGUGCGAGCGUUAAUCGGAAUUACUGGGCGUAAAGGGCACGCAGGCGGUUAAUUAAGUUGGAUGUGAAUCCCCGGGCUUAACCUGGGAAUGGCAUUCAAGACUGGUUAGCUAGAGUCUUGUAGAGGGGGUAGAAUUCCAUGUGUAGCGGUGAAAUGCGUAGAGAUGUGGAGGAAUACCGGUGGCGAAGGCGGCCCCUGGACAAAGGCUGACGCUCAUGUGCGAAAGCGUGGGGAGCGAAACAGGAUUAGAUACC